rnacentral:rRNA from 1 species
ACAGGUGCUGCAUGGCUGUCGUCAGCUCGUGUCGUGAGAUGUUGGGUUAAGUCCCGCAACGAGCGCAACCCUUAUUCAUUAGUUGCUACGCAAGGGCACUCUAAUGAGACUGCCGGUGACAAACCGGAGGAAGGUGGGGAUGACGUCAAGUCCUCAUGGCCCUUAUGGGUAGGGCUUCACACGUCAUACAAUGGUCGGUACAGAGGGUUGCCAAGCCGCGAGGCGGAGCCAAUCCCACAAAGCCGAUCGUAGUCCGGAUUGGUUCUCUGCAACUCGAGAGCAUGAAGUCGGAAUCGCUAGUAAUCGCAGGUCAGCAUACUGCGGUGAAUACGUUCCCGGGUCUU